rnacentral:rRNA from 1 species
GGACUACACGGGUUUCUAAUCCUGUUUGCUCCCCACGCUUUCGCACCUCAGCGUCAGUAUCGGGCCAGUGAGCCGCCUUCGCCACUGGUGUUCUUGCGAAUAUCUACGAAUUUCACCUCUACACUCGCAGUUCCACUCACCUCUCCCGAACUCAAGCCUCUCAGUAUCAAGGGCAGUUCUGGAGUUGAGCUCCAGGAUUUCACCCCUGACUUAAAAGACCGCCUACGUGCGCUUUACGCCCAGUGAUUCCGAGCAACGCUAGCCCCCUUCGUAUUACCGCGGCUGCUGGCAC